rnacentral:misc_RNA from 1 species
AACGCACGAGACCUGCGGACCUGCGGAGGGAUCAUUAAUAAAGAUCGACCUCUUUUGGUUUAAAUAUGGACGAUCAAAAAAAUCCAUAUCCACCUUGUGUGCACUCAUUGACCGUUCGCUUUGGCAGGAGUGAGGCCUUUGGGAGGGAAAGAGAAAUCUCCUUUCCCGGUGGCGGCCUGCCAGAGUUUUUCGACAUCAAAAACCUAACCAAUCAAUCUUCAGACUGAACCCUCGUCUCGA